GGGUUUAUAGCUCAGUUGGUCAGAGCGCCUGCCUUACAAGCAGGGUGUCGGGGGUUCGAAUCCCUCUGGACCCA
rnacentral:tRNA from 1 species